CAGGAAAGUGCUGACUCCAUAGACUUCCCAAUUGCUGGGUGUCUCGUCCAACACCUCAUUGAAGUUGAUUGGUCAGCCAGAGAGACAAAAGGCAGAGAGAUCUGGAGCCUUCAAUAAAUCCUGCAGUGAGGUACUCAGGAAAGUCCUGACUCAAUAGCCUUCCCAGCUGCGGGGUGGAUUAUCCAUCACCACAUUGAACGCAGUUGGUCUGCCAGAGGGAGACAAAGGGAAAGGAGAUCUGGAGCCUUCAAUAAAUCCUGUAGUGAGGUAUUCCUGAUGUCCCUGACUCAGCACAAUUCCCAAUUCCUGUCUCGUCCAUCACCACAUUGAAGACGGUUGGUCAGUCAGAGAGAGAUGGAGAGUGAGAUCUGGAGCCUUCAGUAAAUCCUGCAGCCAAAUUCCUGGCCCAUAGAAGACAGAGGGUGAUGCCAGAUGGAAAGCAUUCAGCCUGGAGCUCGGUGACCAGUGGUUUUCUGCACGGAGAGGUUACAGGACCUCUGCUCUUGGUACUCGGGAAGUUCCUGACUCAAUAGACUUCCCAACUGCUGUGCGUCUCAUCCAUCACCUCAUUGAAGAUGGUUGGUCAGCCAGGGAGACAAAGGGCAGGGAGAUCUGGAGCCUUUAAUAAAUCCUGCAGUGAGGUACUCAGGAAGGUUCAGACUCGAUUAACUUCCCAGCUGCUGGGUGUCUCGUCCAUCAUCACAUUGAAGAUAGUUGGUCAGCCAGAGAGACAAAAGAGAGGGAGAUCUGCAGCCUUCAAUAAAUCCUGC